rnacentral:rRNA from 1 species
UACAGAGGGGGCAAGCGUUAUUCGGAAUUAUUGGGCGUAAAGGGCGCGUAGGCGGCUGCGUAAGUCGGGAGUGAAAGCCCGGGGCUCAACCCCGGAAUGUCUCUCGAAACUGCGCGGCUCGAGUGCGGAAGAGGCAACUGGAAUUCCCAGUGUAGCGGUGAAAUGCGUAGAUAUUGGGAAGAACACCUGAGGCGAAGGCGGGUUGCUGGGCCGACACUGACGCUGAGGCGCGAAAGCGUGGGGAGCGAACAGG